rnacentral:snRNA from 1 species
AGGCAAGGGAAGUCGGCA